rnacentral:rRNA from 1 species
GGGCCCGCACAAGCGGUGGAGCAUGUGGUUUAAUUCGAUGAUACGCGAGGAACCUUACCAGGGCUUAAAUGUAGUGGGACAGGUCUAGAGAUAGACCCUUCUUCGGACUACUUACAAGGUGCUGCAUGGUUGUCGUCAGCUCGUGCCGUGAGGUGUCAGGUUAAGUCCUAUAACGAGCGCAACCCCUAUCGUUAGUUGCCAGCGAGUAAUGUCGGGAACUCUAACGAAACUGCCAGUGCAAACUGUGAGGAAGGUGGGGAUGACGUCAAAUCAUCACGGCCCUUACGUCCUGGCCUACACACGUGCUACAAUGGCCGGUACAGAGAGCAGCCACUACGCGAGUAGGCGCG